AUUGCACGCUGGCGGCAGGCUUAACACAUGCAAGUCGAACGAGUGGCGGACGGGUGAGUAAUGCUUGGGAAACUAGCUUAUGGAGGGGGAUAACUACGGGAAACGGUAGCUAAUACCGCAUACCAUAGGAUGAGCCCAAGUGGGAUUAGGUAGUUGGUGGGGUAAAGGCUCACCAAGGCGACGAUCUCUAGCUGGUCUGAGAGGAUGACCAGCCACACUGGGACUGAGGCACGGCCCAGACUCCUACGGGAGGCAGCAGUGGGUAAUAUUGCGCAAUGGGGGCAACCUGACGCAGCCAUGCCGCGUGAAUGAAGAAGGCCUGCGGGUUGUAAAGUUCUUUCAGUGGGGAGGCGUUACCUACAGAAGAAGCACCGGCUAACUCCGUGCCAGCAGCCGCGGUAAUUC
rnacentral:rRNA from 1 species